rnacentral:rRNA from 1 species
UACGUAGGGUGCAAGCGUUGUCCGGAAUUAUUGGGCGUAAAGAGCUCGUAGGCGGUUUGUCGCGUCUGCUGUGAAAACCCAGGGCUUAACCCUGGGCCUGCAGUGGGUACGGGCAAACUAGAGUGCGGUAGGGGAGAUCGGAAUUCCUGGUGUAGCGGUGAAAUGCGCAGAUAUCAGGAGGAACACCGGUGGCGAAGGCGGAUCUCUGGGCCGUAACUGACGCUGAGGAGCGAAAAGCAUGGGGUAGCGAACAGG